rnacentral:misc_RNA from 1 species
AAGUCGUAACAAGGUUUCCGUAGGUGAACCUGCGGAAGGAUCAUUAUCACGUAUCCACGUAUAAACCAUUGUGAACUGUAUUCUUAUCCUUUGGAGAGAGUGAGGUAGUUUGGGAUUGUAAACAUAUUGAAACUCUUGUGAUUUGUUUCAGUUUAUUAAUCUCCUACGGCUUUCGGGCUGUACUCGUUCACUUCAAAGUGUAUUUUUUAAAUCACUAAUUUGUAUUAACAACUUAAACUCAAUUUUAUAAACUUUGAACUGACUUAUUUCUUACUCUUCACGGAGAAGAAAUUCAUUACGAAACAUAAGAACAACUCUUAGCAACGGAUAUCUUGGUUCUC